GCUGAUGAAGAGUCUUAAUGUUCGUGGACUAUGAGUCCUACAUGUCUGAGACUCUGUGAUCGAGAAUCAGGAUUCUCUGAUCAUGAGUCCCACACAUUUUGGGUACCGGGGUCAAGAGUCCCACUGGUUUGGGACUUUUCGAUCAGAAUUUCAUAUCGAUGAAUUCUGAUGCCCGAUUGCCCAUCGGAUUUGGACUCAAUAUUUAUGAGAAGUU
rnacentral:lncRNA from 1 species